rnacentral:rRNA from 1 species
UUAACUUAAAKGAWUGACGGAAGGGCACCACCAGGGGUGGAGCCUGCGGCUUAAUUUGACUCAACACGGGGAAACUCACCAGGUCCAGACACGAUGAGGAUUGACAGAUUGAGAGCUCUUUCUUGAUUUCGUGGGUGGUGGUGCAUGGCCGUUCUUAGUUGGUGGAGUGAUUUGUCUGCUUAAUUGCGAUAACGAACGAGACCUUAACCUGCUAAAUAGCCCGUAUUGCUUUGGCAGUACGCCGGCUUCUUAGAGGGACUAUCGGCUCAAGCCGAUGGAAGUUUGAGGCAAUAACAG